GUGGGGAAUCUUGCGCAAUGGGCGAAAGCCUGACGCAGCGACGCCGCGUGAGUGAUGAAGGCCUUCGGGUUGUAAAGCUCUGUGGAGGGGGACGAAUAAGUCGGAGUUAACAGCUCCGAUGAUGACGGUACCCCUUUAGCAAGCACCGGCUAACUCUGUGCCAGCAGCCGCGGUAAGACAGAGGGUGCAAACGUUGUUCGGAAUUACUGGGCGUAAAGCGCGUGUAGGUGGCCAGGCAAGUCGGGUGUGAAAGCCCCGGGCUCAACCCGGGAAGUGCACUCGAAACUGCUUGGCUCGAGUGCCGGAGAGGGAAGCGGAAUUCUCGGUGUAGAGGUGAAAUUCGUAGAUAUCGAGAGGAACACCAGUGGCGAAGGCGGCUUCCUGGACGGCUACUGACGCUGAGACGCGAAAGCGUGGGGAGCAAACAGGAUUAGAUACCCCGGUAGUCC
rnacentral:rRNA from 1 species